rnacentral:lncRNA from 1 species
UGUAAUAAUAACAUACUAGUGGACUAAACCUAAAUAUAUUAUUAUUAUAUAUAUUUAGGUUAUAAUGUAUAAUGAAUUGAUUUGGUGAAAUAAUACACAUCGUGAUUUGGGGAAGAAACUGUUUCUCGUUUCUUCACAGCGGCUCUUCUUUUUUGAGCAGAUCUCCUCCCGUCGAUCCCUUCUAAUCAUCAUGGUAUCGGAGCGGAGUUCUUCGUCGAUGGCAUCUAGCAACGGCAGAUCUAGUGGAGAUCGAUGAUCGGGCAGACCGAAGGAGGCAUGAUCGGCGGCAACGUCGGGAACACAACCGGUAGAAAAUCGACGAUGAGUACCCCUACCCGGCGAAAUUAAACAUUGGUGACUUCGUUUCAAUUUAUCUUUCUGCCGAUAAUUUCUUGCAAUGGCAGACACAGAUGGUGAAUCUGUUAGAGGGACAAGAUCUCAUUGAGUUUGUCGAUGGCUCANNN